rnacentral:rRNA from 1 species
CAAAAUGAGAGUUUGAUCCUGGCUCAGGACGAACGCUGGCGGCGUGCCUAAUACAUGCAAGUCGAGCGAGCUGAAUUCAAAGAUCCCUUCGGGGUGACUUGUUGGACGCGAGCGGCGGAUGGGUGAGUAACACGUGGGCAACCUGCCCUAAAGACUGGGAUACCACUUGGAAACAGGUGCUAAUACCGGAUAACAACGACUUUCACAUGAAAGACGUUUGAAAGGCGGCUUUUAGCUGUCACUUUAGGAUGGGCCCGCGGUGCAUUAGCUAGUUGGUAGGGUAACGGCCUACCAAGGCAAUGAUGCAUAGCCGAGUUGAGAGACUGAUCGGCCACAUUGGGACUGAGACACGGCCCAAACUCCUACGGGAGGCAGCAGUAGGGAAUCUUCCACAAUGGACGCAAGUCUGAUGGAGCA